rnacentral:misc_RNA from 1 species
AAGUCGUAACAAGGUUUCCGUAGGUGAACCUGCGGAAGGAUCAUUACUAUCAAAAAAAGAAAGGCCACGGGGGCAAGCUUUCCAAUAGGACAGUCAGUAGAUGUACGGUUCUACUGGCUGGCAGCGGAACGAAAGGCUCGUGCUAUUAUAGCCCUGUCUCGCUCAAGUACGCUGAACGAGCUGCCUGUCUGACCCUACCCUUGCUUUUUGCGCACCCAUUGUUUCCUCGGCAGGCUUGCCUGCCAGUAGGACCCCAUUUCAACCUUUUGUAAUUGCAAUCAGCGUCAGAAAUAACUUAAUUGUUACAACUUUCAACAACGGAUCUCUUGGUUCUG